CAGUGUGUCUCCAGCCAUGAUCUGGAGUCAGUGUGUUCAUGACCCCU
ensembl:misc_RNA